AGAGAGAGAGAGAGAGAGAAAAUACAAAGCAUAUGUUGAUUUACUUAGAACUAUGAGUAAAAACAUCCCUUUUUUAGCAGUCAGGCUUUUGUACGAAAUACCAUAUUGAAAUAUUUUUACCUAUGUUAACAAAUCUCAAAGAAGUUGAAACUUAAAUACUGAAGAAUUGAAUUUGACAUUGAAAUAAUAAUUAAAAAGCACAUUUAAUUGCUUAAUGUAGACCAUAUUUGAAAGAGUAAAAAUAUUUGAGGGGGGAAAGGAGGGGGAUUAAACUAGGCGUUGAUUUUAUUCCAGACAAUAGUUAAGAGGUCUGACGUCAUUAGAUAAUAAAGGUCACAUGACAGAUUGUAGAAAAGCCAGACGAAGUGCUCUGAGAGCGUCCUUUCCACGCGUUUGCCGGCGAUCACGAAUGAUCAGCUUCGAUUCGUACCAAGGAACUCUCUUUUCUUCUUCAGGUAUUUUAGAGAACUUUUUUUGAUUGUAUUUUCUUGGGAAUCUAGAGUCAAAGAACCGGCUGCAAAAGCGAUACAUUUUGCCAAGGAAAGCGGUCUGUUCUGGGACACACUACGAACUUUGGUUUCAAACUGUUUCGUUUCGCGAACUGAAUACUUGGCCACAAGAAGGAAUACUUCUCGGUGCCGAUCCAGUGUACAGUCUUCUAAAGCUCACGGCGCCUGUGUCAAAUUCGUGAAGAGUUUUUGACUCCGUGAUAAAUGUUGGUUUGUUUGUCGUAUUUUGUAUCUAGGUCUAAGCAGGUACCUGGCUUGAUUACAACCGACUUAUUACUCACUCGUACAGUACAAACACAAUUUCAGUACGACUUACAAGACUAAUAAUUCCUACCGUGAAACGGAAAUUUGUUUUUCAAUUUGAAAUGACAAACUUUACACGAGCUCGAGAUCUACUGGUUGUCUGAUGGCCAUUCUUCGCGAAAGCCUGAGGAAAAAGACAGAGAAACAGUCCAUUCUUGCAUUGUUUUGAGCGCAUGGGAUAAUGCACACAAGAAACAGACGCCCAUUCCUCGGCAGACAUGGGCCUCGUGUAAUAGCACUGUUUUUCGACCCGUAGAUCCGAACUUGUGGUUGUCUAUCUCCCCAAGUUUUGAUCUACGGAACAAGAAACAACGCAAUCAUGACAAGGAACACCCAAACAUGACUUUCAAAUGCUUUUACUUGACACACAAGAAAUCCUUAACUUUUUAAUAAGUAAAGGAAUUCUUGUAUCGUCAGGUGAAGGAUCUUGAUAUAUCUGCUAGAUCAUGUCUUGGGUCGCCAAAUGAAGCUCAGCUCUUUCUUCUCCACUGCCUCGACUUAGAAGAAAUCUUAACUCAUUGAAAAUAUUUGUUGUAAAAAUCAAAGUAAUAUUGAUGCUACUUCUUUUGGUUUUUGAAAUACUUUCUUUGUGAUAUGUUUUCUAAAUUGUUAAUUUUACGGAGGCCUGUAUUUCUUGAAGGUGAAUCCCUGAAUGGGAGCUAGCACAACGUCCAUGAUGUAAAGAAACUUUCAAACCAACUUUUUAUUCAACUAAGUACAUCCUUUAAUUUAUUUACUUUAAAGAAGAUAAGAAGAGCCAAGAAAAGUUAACUCACAAUAAUAUUUGAAUAUUUCUUUUUUGGUUCCGGGACUCAACUAAGUGUUCACUUUAGACAACUAAAUUUUCUUCGCCUAACUUCAGGACUUAUGUUUUUAUUUUACAAGAAGCAUAUUUUACUAAACGUCCUUUGGCAACUAAGUUUAGAGAUAGUGGUAUAAUGUUUUAAGUAAAACAGUGUUAGUUAGAAGUUAAUAAGAGUAAUGAAUAAUUUCUCUUAAAAUUUUAAUUUCGUACACUAUAAAGAUUGAUGUUUAUUUUGUGUUUAUGAGGAUUGUAAUACUAAUUGAAAAUAAUCAUGCAUAAUUGCUGAAGAAUGAGGAAGGAAAAGAACAAGCUUAACUAAUAAUAUUAAUGUAUUUGUUUAAAUUAAUACUUUGGAAUGAUAAGAAAAUAAAGACGUUUAUAACUGGUAAA